rnacentral:rRNA from 1 species
UAAAUCUUCGGCAAUGGGGGGAACCCUGACCGAGCAACGCCGCGUGAGUGAAGAAGGUUUUCGGAUCGUAAAGCUCUGUUGUUAAGGAAGAACGAGUGUGAGAAUGGAAAGUUCAUACUGUGACGGUACUUAACCAGAAAGGGACGGCUAACUACGUGCCAGCAGCCGCGGUAAUACGUAGGUCCCGAGCGUUGUCCGGAUUUAUUGGGCGUAAAGCGAGCGCAGGCGGUUAGAUAAGUCUGAAGUUAAAGGCAGUGGCUCAACCAUUGUAGGCUUUGGAAACUGUUUAACUUGAGUGCAGAAGGGGAGAGUGGAAUUCCAUGUGUAGCGGUGAAAUGCGUAGAUAUAUGGAGGAACACCGGUGGCGAAAGCGGCUCUCUGGUCUGUAACUGACGCUGAGGCUCGAAAGCGUGGGGAGCGAACAGGAUUAGAUACCCUGGUAGUCCACGCCGUAAACGAUGAGUGCUAGGUGUUAGGUCCUUUCCGGGACUUAGUGCCGCAGCUAACGCAUUAAGCACUCCGCCUGGGGAGUACGACCGCAAGGUUG